rnacentral:tRNA from 1 species
GCACUGGUGGUCUAGUGGCCAAGACACCGCUCCCGGGGCACCGACGCGCAGCGUUGGUCCGGCGACGAGGGUUCGACUCCCUCCCGGUGCU